rnacentral:lncRNA from 1 species
GGUUUGAAUAGUACUGGGCUAGGUGACCUCUCGGGAAGUCCAAGCUCAGGAGCUUACAUCUUGGAUCGAGGACGGCCUAAAUAUAGCUGAGGUCGAGGAGGCACCAUGUCAUCAUCAAGAAUGUGGUUCGAGACUUAGGAAUCGUACAGGAAAUUAAAGAGUCAGGAAUAGGGAAGUGUCUCGAGAGUUAGGAAUAUGGUCUACGGGUCAGGAAUUUGGCAAGAGUCAGGAAUGUGGCAAGAAUUGGGGGAUUCCUAACACGACUAUUGCCAUAAAGAAUGAAAACACAAGUGUAAACGGCAACGUGUGGCAAUAGGUCGAGCAAUAGAAGAUAAACUCGAACUUAUAUCAACUAACACAGAAAGAAUAAUAGGAGAUCUUUUGUUAUAAAAACGAGCUUGGAAAGUAAACACUACAUGAACUAGUGCUGAGUGAACCCCUUGAUGAUACUCCUGAAAUAAAGAUGGAUCAGUCACAGACUUAUUCGCACAAGGUCCUUCCGUUACUCACGCAACUCCUCGUUUCUCGAAUGCAUCUCGGUGUCUAGACCUUUCACUACAGCAGCACCAACAGGACGUCGUUGACGCCAAGGUCUCCACCUAGGAAAUGGAGGUCACCAAUCCGGAAAACGCCGACAACACCGAUAAAUGUGACCAACUUCAUCACAUGCCCAACAACAAACGUCACGGCCACAACCACGUCCUCAUCCUUAUCCUUGAACUCGAGCAGUAGUAGCAUCAACCUCCAUUGGAACAAGACCAUCGCCUAUAAGAAGUGGAGCAGAAGGACGUGCAGCAAGAAGUGGAAGAGGUGACGUCUCAUAACAUUGUGCCAAGCAAAGAGCAUCAUCAAGGGUGGCUAGAGCAAGUGCAUGCACAAGUCCAACAAGAUCUUGACGAAGUGCUAGCUACAACAUUCCUAGCUUGAUCUGCUCCGACAUAUUUGGCUCCACAUGAAGCAAAAGGCUUUGAAAACGAACGCCAAAUUGCAUCACUGACUCAGAUGGCCCUUGACAAAGACGAUGCAAUUGCUGGAAGGCAUCAUCACAAUCAUCAGCAUGUCCAAAUGCAUAUUUGAAUACAUCCGAGAGAACACUUCAAUCCCUACGAGUGGCUGCACUCAAACCAUUGUACCACUGUAGUGCCGUCCCUUGGAGACACAUGGGAAACUCAUGCAAACGUCAAGCAUAAUCCCAAGAAUGAUAUAUGGCAAUCAUCGUGAAGUGAUCAAACCAAUGGUACACACCAUCCCCAGGAUUCCCACGAAAGAACUCCGGCCGAACACGAAGAUUGGCACCAAGAGCAGGAGAAGUUGGACCACGUGCUUGUAAGCAACCAAAGGGAACGACUCGAGAGAUGGUCCAUGGGGUUCAAAUAUAGAGGGAAAGGGCCCAUGAACAAGAGUGCACCCCCUUUUUCCAAUUGGUGGGUCUUGGGAUAUUUGGGGUUAAGCGUCCUUGGGUUUGAAUAGUACUGGGUUGGGUGACCUCCCGGGAAGUCCAAACUCAGGAGUUUACAUCUGGUAUCGGAGCGGUCUCGGGUCCGACUCUGUUGGUUGGAUAAGGGAAUCACACCACAUGUUGAUUGACAUCUGGCUGGUCCAAUUUGCUCCCGCUGGGCUCGACCCGAGGGAUAGGGUGUCAAGAGAGUAGGGCUCUCGGGAGAGCUGCGGCUCUCAGCUUCCGUUCACGAGGGCGUGAACUUGCAGGGAAGCGUGGUGGAUUGUAAGCAACCAAAGAGAACGACUCGAGAGAUGGUCCAUGGGGUUCAAAUAUAGAGGGAAAGGGCCCAUGAACAAGAGUGCACCCCC